rnacentral:rRNA from 1 species
GCAUAUCAAUAAGCGGAGGAAAAGAAACCAACAGGGAUUGCCUCAGUAGCGGCGAGUGAAGCGGCAAGAGCUCAGAUUUGAAAUCGUGCUUUGCGGCACGAGUUGUAGAUUGCAGGUUGGAGUCUGUGUGGAAGGCGGUGUCCAAGUCCCUUGGAACAGGGCGCCCAGGAGGGUGAGAGCCCCGUGGGAUGCCGGCGGAAGCAGUGAGGCCCUUCUGACGAGUCGAGUGUUGGGAUGCAGCUCCAAGCGGUGGANUUCCAUCUAAGGUAAUACUGGCGAGAGACGAUAGCGAACAAGACUGGAAGGAAAGUGAAAAGACUUUGAAAAGAGAGGAACAGACGGAAUGUGAAGGAAGGGAUGCGCCGACUGNGAUGCGACCGUGCUCUCGGGGGGUCUGGUUCCUGGCACUCGUCUGUGAGAAAGGUUGACGGGUCUCGAUGUUAGCAGCAAGUGGGGGGCAGAUGGGCGGAGCCGUGUGAACGGACCCCCGCUGACCGACAGGGAUCGUAACUGAGCAUCUU